rnacentral:rRNA from 1 species
UACGUAGGGGGCAAGCGUUGUCCGGAUUCAUUGGGCGUAAAGAGCGUGUAGGCGGCCCGAUAAGUCCGCCGUGAAAGUCCAGGGCUCAACCCUGGAAUGCCGGUGGAAACUGUCGGGCUGGAGUCCGGAAGAGGCGAGUGGAAUUCCUGGUGUAGCGGUGAAAUGCGCAGAUAUCAGGAGGAACACCAAUGGCGAAGGCAGCUCGCUGGGACGGUACUGACGCUGAGGCGCGAAAGCGUGGGGAGCGAACAGG